AUUGUUCGCAAUGGGCGCAAGCCUGACGACGCAACGCCGCGUGGAGGAUGAAGAUCUUCGGGUCGUAAACUCCUGUCGAGCGGGAAGAACACCUACCGGCCGAAUACGCUGGUAGGCUGACGGUACCGCUAAAGGAAGCCCCGGCUAACUCCGUGCCAGCAGCCGCGGUAAUACGGGGGGGGCAAGCGUUGUUCGGAAUUACUGGGCGUAAAGGGCUCGUAGGCGGCCAACUAAGUCCGACGUGAAAUCCCCAGGCUCAACCUGGGAACUGCGUCGGAUACUGGAUGGCUUGAAUUCGGGAGAGGGAUGCAGAAUUCCAGGUGUAGCGGUGAAAUGCGUAGAUAUCUGGAGGAAUACCGGUGGCGAAGGCGGCAUCCUGGACCGACAUUGACGCUGAGGAGCGAAAGCUAGGGGAGCAAAC
rnacentral:rRNA from 1 species